UGAAAGUAGGUUAAGGAGUUCGUUCUUCUAGGUUAAACGCAGAUAAACGCUUUUAAGCUGCCGACUCCCCACAACGACCUCGAAAAAUGCGCAGACUGUGCACUUUGAGGCGUGAAUGUGCCCUGCGAUGAACCCCUGAGACCACGAACAACUGGAAAAUGGAUAGAGGUGCAUGACGCUGAAUGAGUCACGUGAUGCCGAAUAUCCCCAAACUCUCUUCAGCUGACAUGCAAGUCACAUGGUUUUCCUGGUGGAAGCAGGAUGUUAGCUAAGACAGCCCACUGCAUACAAACCUUGUUACUACCACAUUCCUCCUGUUUAUGGGUUGAACAAAUAGAAACAAAUCCUCUAGAUGAGGGACUUGCUUUGUGUAAGGGUCACAAAUGGUAAUGCAGCAACUUGCGUAGGACGGGAGGGUAAAUACAAACUUGUCUUUAUUCUGCGUUACAAUGACGCUGUUUCAAAUAUCAGAUGGCAUCUGCAGAAAAUGCAAAGUGUUUACCCUGAGUGGAUUUAGUGGCUCGUAGCACUGCUCCCCCUAGUGGUGUGUGUGAAGUAUGCAUGCUCUACCCCCAUGGUCGGACAUUCUUCAUAGUGUGCGGCUUGUGUACUUGUGUGCGCCGUGACGUAGCUGCCUCUUCUGCUCUAUGCUCCCUCAGGUACCCCCACCCCAAUGCUGUAGCCAAGUGGAAGACGGAUGGAUUCAGCUAAUAUUCACCAGGAUUCCUGAUCCUGUUAAUAACGAUUCCUGCAUUGAGACAAAGCACAGAUCCCCUGUGGAUGCAGAGGCAAGUCGAAACCCUGCAGCCAAUUCCGGAGAACCUUCCCUGGAUACCCUAGUGUUUGUAAUUCAGGACUCCGUCAUACUGACAGCCAUGUUAGCGCUUAACAGCUGGCCAGCUGUAUGAAUUAUGGAUUUGGUCCAUUACUAUGCAUUAUUCCCUGCUGAUA